UGGGGAAUAUUGCGCAAUGGGGGGAACCCUGACGCAGCCAUGCCGCGUGAAUGAAGAAGGCCUUAGGGUUGUAAAGUUCUUUCGGUAUUGAGGAAGGUUGAUGUGUUAAUAGCACAUCAAAUUGACGUUAAAUACAGAAGAAGCACCGGCUAACUCCGUGCCAGCAGCCGCGGUAAUACGGAGGGUGCGAGCGUUAAUCGGAAUAACUGGACGUAAAGGGCACGCAGGCGGUUAUUUAAGUGAGGUGUGAAAGCCCCGGGCUUAACCUGGGAAUUGCAUUUCAGACUGGGUAACUAGAGUACUUUAGGGAGGGGUAGAAUUCCACGUGUAGCGGUGAAAUGCGUAGAGAUGUGGAGGAAUACCGAAGGCGAAGGCAGCCCCUUGGGAAUGUACUGACGCUCAUGUGCGAAAGCGUGGGGAGCAAACAGGAUUAGAUACCCUGGUAGUCCACGCUGUAAACGCUGUCGAUUUGGGGGUUGGGGUUUAACUCUGGCGCCCGUAGCUAACGUGAUGAAUCGACCGCCUGGGGAGUACGGCCGCAAGGUUA
rnacentral:rRNA from 1 species